UACGUAGGGAGCAAGCGUUGUCCGGAAUCAUUGGGCGUAAAGCGCGCGUAGGUGGCCCCAUAAGUCCGCUGUGAAAGUCAAAGGCUCAACCUUUGAAAGCCGGUGGAUACUGUGAGGCUAGAGUACGGAAGGGGCGAGUGGAAUUCCUGGUGUAGCGGUGGAAUGCGCAGAUAUCAGGAGGAACACCAAUAGCGAAGGCAGCUCGCUGGGACGUUACUGACACUGAGGCGCGAAAGCGUGGGGAGCGAACAGG
rnacentral:rRNA from 1 species